AACGGCGGCCGUAACUAUAACGGUCCUAAGGUAGCGAAAUUCCUUGUCAGGUAAGUUCUGACCCGCACGAAAGGCGUAACGAUCUGGGCACUGUCUCAACAAUAGACUCGGUGAAAUUGUAGUACCGGUAAAGAUGCCGGUUACCCGCAGCAGGACGGUAAGACCCCGUGGAGCUUUACUGUAACUUGAUAUUGAGUUUCGGUGUUAUGCGUACAGGAUAGGUGGGAGACUAUGAAUCUGGAGCGCCAGUUUCAGAGGAGUCACUGUUGGGAUACCACCCUUGUAGCAUUGGAAUUCUAACCCGGUAGCAUCAUCUGCUACGGGGACAGUGUCUGGUGGACAGUUUGACUGGGGCGGUCGCCUCCUAAAGAGUAACGGAGGCGCCCAAAGGUUCCCUCAGCGCGGACGGAAAUCGCGCGAAGAGUGCAAAGGCAGAAGGGAGCUUGACUGCGAGACCAACAAGUCGAGCAGGGACGAAAGUCGGGCUUAGUGAUCCGGUGGCAUCCGAGUGGAAGGGCCAUCGCUCAACGGAUAAAAGCUACCCCGGGGAUAACAGGCUUAUACCCCCCAAGAGUUCACAUCGACGGGGGUGUUUGGCACCUCGAUGUCGGCUCGUCUCAUCCUGGGGCUGAAGUAGGUCCCAAGGGUUGGGCUGUUCGCCCAUUAAAGAGGUACGCGAGCUGGGUUCAGAACGUCGUGAGACAGUUCGGUCCCUAUCCGCUGUGGGCGUUGGAAAUCUGAGUGGAGCUGUCCUUAGUACGAGAGGACCGGGACGGACUUACCUCUGGUGCACCAGUUGUCUUGCCAAGGGCAUAGCUGGGUAGCUAAGUAGGGAAGGGAUAAGCGCUGAAAGCAUCUAAGUGCGAAGCCCCCCACGAGAAAAGAUUUCCCCCGCAAGGUAAGGUCCGUGGGAGACUACCACGUAGAUAGGUCGGAGGUGUAAGUGCAGUAAUGUAUUAAGCUGACCGAUACUAAUAGACCGAAAGCUUGGCCAG
rnacentral:rRNA from 1 species